rnacentral:rRNA from 1 species
UUUCGCAAUGCCCGAAAGGGUGACGAAGUGACGCCGCGUGAGUGAGGAAGGCCUUCGGGUUGUAAAGCUCUGUCAGGAGUUAAGAAAUGUAAGUGUGCUAAUACCACAUUUAUUUGACGAAGGCUCCAAAGGAAGCCACGGCUAACUCUCUGCCAGCAGCCGCGGUAAUACAGAGGUGGCAAGCGUUGUUCGGAAUUACUGGGCGUAAAGAGCACGUAGGUGGGCCUGUAAGUCAGCAGUGAAAACCUUCUGUUCAACAGAAGAAUUGCAUCUGAAAGGCCCGAGUCUUGAGUGUAGGAGGGGAGAAUGGAACUUCUGGUGGAGCGGUGAAAGGCGUAGAUAUCAGAAGGAACGCCAGUGGCGGAAGAGAUUGUGAAGCCUAUUACUCACGAUCAAUGUGCGAAAGGUAGGGGACAAACGGGUUU